rnacentral:lncRNA from 1 species
AACACACAAAAUUAACUUUUUAAAUUAUUUUUACAACAGGUUUGUAAAUGGUUGCAGGCAAUGUUCUUCUACUUGAAGCAGAUCCCAUAUUACUUUGAUGCUAUAUUAAUUGGUGCAUACACUACUCUUCUGGAUGCAGCAUGGAAGCAAAUGUCAAGCUUUGUUCAGAAUGGUUCAAGCUUUGUGAAACACCUUUCACUGGGUUCAGUCCAAAUG